CGGGGUUCUUAAUUUCUGUAUUCUUUCAUAUUUUAGGCCAUAUUUCUCUAUUCUUUAUACUUUUUGACAAUUAUUCUCUUAUCAUUACAUUUUAACACCAUAAUUCUAGGUAUUUUAUUUAUUUCUUAGUCCAUUGUCUCUAUUAUUUAUAUUUUUUGUCCACUAUUCUCAAUUCCAUAAUCCCCCAUCAACGGCCUCUAGUUAAU
rnacentral:lncRNA from 1 species